UAAUCGCAGAUCAGAAUGCUGCGGUGAAUGCGUUCCCGGGUCUUGUACACACCGCCCGUCACACCACGGAAGUUGGAGACGCCCGAAGCCGAUUAUCUAACCUUUUGGAAGAAGUCGUCGAAGGGGGAAUCAAUAACUGGGGUGAAGUCGUAACAAGGUAGCCGUAUCGGAAGGGGCGGCUGGAUCACCUCCUUUCUAAGGAGA
rnacentral:rRNA from 1 species